CAUCCUUUGGUUGGUUGUUUGCUCGCUUGUUUGUUUGUUUCCAAAUGGAAUUCCUGGAACAAAAGGGGAGUCUGUGCGUAACUAAAGGAUCCGUCCGGGCAUCCAAAGCUUAGCUCCGGUGUGUCACCCAGGCGGCUUCAGCUGGCUGACCGUCCCCUAGGUACCCGAGAGAAUCAUCUACAACGGUGAUGUGAAAAUCCCUGUUACCUGAGGUCAAAAAAAAAAGUCUCCCAGAAGACCUGGAGUGGUGACGCCUGGAUGCAGAGGAGAUCACACUGCUUAUAAAUCUGCACCAUGAAGAGGCCAAAAGUUUCUUCGGCAGCAGGAGGUAAGCCAGGACUGCUGGUGGGUGUAAGGAACGGAGAGCAAUGCCACAUGCAUUCGAGAAGAUGAAGGCGGCGUUCUUGAGGAUGGAGACUUUGGGGCAGUGUCAUGGUCCUGUACAGAAAGCUUGAAGAGAUCUUCAGGUGGGAACACACCACCCAGCCAGCUGCUUGUUUGGUUUAGUCCAUGGACCUCUGGGUUUUUCACACCAGAGACUGGAAACUCUUGAUUUACCCUAAGUUUCCUCUUUGUGGACUUCUGAUGCGAUAGGAAUGGCACAAAAAAUUCAAUAUAUCUGCUUUGCCAUAACUUUUUCAGCGUGCUAACUUUCCCAGGACUACUUUCUGCUCAAAUUACUGAAACUUAAUUACAUGAGGCUUAAUUUCAGUUGCUUGGCCAGCUUUAAAAACAUAUAUUCAAAUUUGAACCACAAGGGCAGAAUUUUGGGAGCCUCUUUGUCCUCUUACUUUGUGUUAGUUUAAAUGAAGAAACUGUGCCUGUGAAUCUCUGCUUUAUUACACCUGUUCCAAGUCAGUCUCACUUCUGGAGAGACUUCCCAGACUCUUGGCAGUUUAAGGGGGAGUACAAACUACCCCUUAUGUUAUAGUUUAUGGUUUUGAACCUGUGCAAACAAUAGAUAUUUGUCUCCUGCUUAUGCAUUUUCUUGUAAAUAAAAUGUAUUGAGACCAGAGAUGGAGUUUCACUGACUUUACACCAGAUAAGAAUUUGUGUUGACAUUUUACAUAGAAGUGUUGUAUAAUCUGUACGUUUCUCAAGUAGGUCUUGCAUCGUUUCAUUGCAACAAAAAAAGAAGGGGAGGGAGAACCAAAGGAGGGGCAUGGAGGAGAGAGAAGGUGAAAGGGUACAAAUGGGGAACGGUGGAGUUGGAGGAUAGCACUGGCUAUAAAUGCAUUAUCUAAGAAUUCCCAUGGUUAGGACUUAUUAUCUUUCUGACCUCACCAUUUCAUUACAAUCUGCUGCUUAGGUGAUAAGUAAUAAAUGGCCUUCAAAUUUUA